rnacentral:rRNA from 1 species
GAUGAACGCUAGCGGCAGGCUUAAUACAUGCAAGUCGAGGGGCAGCAGGACUGUAGCAAUACAGUUGCUGGCGACCGGCAAACGGGUGCGGAACACGUACGCAACCUUCCUUUAAGUAGGGAAUAGCCCAGGGAAACUUGGAUUAAUACCUCGUAACAUUAUGAGAUGGCAUCAUCUUAUAAUUAUAGCUCCGGCGCUUAAAGAUGGGCGUGCGCCUGAUUAGGUAGUUGGCGGGGUAACGGCCCACCAAGCCUCCGAUCAGUAACUGGUGUGAGAGCACGACCGGUCACACGGGCACUGAGACACGGGCCCGACUCCUACGGGAGGCAGCAGUAAGGAAUAUUGGUCAAUGGACGCAAGUCUGAACCAGCCAUGCCGCGUGGAGGAUGAAGGUCCUCUGGAUUGUAAACUUCUUUUAUCUGGGAAGAAACCCAUAUUUUCUAGUGUGGUUGACGGUACCAGAUGAAUAAGCACCGGCUAACUCCGUGCCAGCAGCCGCCGUAAAAC